CCUACGGGUGGCAGCAGUGAGGAAUAUUGGUCAAUGGACGAGAGUCUGAACCAGCCAAGUAGCGUGAAGGAUGACUGCCCUAUGGGUUGUAAACUUCUUUUAUAAAGGAAUAAAACGAGGCACGUGUGCCUUUUUGCAUGUACUUUAUGAAUAAGGAUCGGCUAAUUCCGUGCCAGCAGCCGCGGUAAUACGGAAGGUCCGGGCGUUAUCCGGAUUUAUUGGGUUUAAAGGGAGCGUAGAUGGGUUGUUAAGUCAGUUGUGAAAGUUUGCGGCUCAACCGUAAAAUUGCAAUUGAUACUGGCAGCCUUGAGUACAGUUGAGGUAGGCGGAAUUCGUGGUGUAGCGGUGAAAUGCUUAGAUAUCACGAAGAACUCCGAUUGCGAAGGCAGCCUACCGGCGCGCAACUGACGCUCAUGCACGAAAGCGUGGGUAUCGAACAGGAUUAGAUACCCCUGUAGUC
rnacentral:rRNA from 1 species